rnacentral:rRNA from 1 species
UACGGAGGGGGCGAGCGUUAUUCGGAAUUAUUGGGCGUAAAGGGCGCGUAGGCGGCUUGUCAAGUCAAAGGUGAAAUCCCUCGGCUCAACUGAGGAACUGCCUUUGAAACUAGCGAGCUUGAGGCCGGGAGGGGGCAGCGGAAUUCCCAGUGUAGCGGUGAAAUGCGUAGAUACUGGGAGGAACACCAGUGGCGAAGGCGGCUACCUGGACCGGUUCUGACGCUGAGGCGCGAAAGCGUGGGUAGCAAACAGG